CCUACGGGAGGCAGCAGUGAGGAAUAUUGGUCAAUGGGCGCGAGCCUGAACCAGCCAAGUCGCGUGAGGGAAGACGGUCCUAUGGAUUGUAAACCUCUUUUGUCGGGGAGCAAAAGACGCCACGCGUGGCGAUCCGAGAGUACCCGAAGAAAAAGCAUCGGCUAACUCCGUGCCAUCAGCCGCGGGAAUACGGAGGAUUCAAGCGUUAUCCGGAUUUAUUGGGUUUAAAGGGUGCGUAGGCGGUCGGAUAAGUUAGAGGUGAAAUCCCGAGGCUCAACUUCGGAAUUGCCUCUGAUACUGUGCGGCUAGAGAGUAGUUGCGGUAGGCGGAAUGUAUGGUGUAGCGGUGAAAUGCUUAGAGAUCAUACAGAACACCGAUUGCGAAGGCAGCUUACCAAGCUACUUCUGACGUUGAGGCACGAAAGCGUGGGGAGCAAACAGGAUUAGAUACCCGUGUAGUC
rnacentral:rRNA from 1 species